AGUGCAGAGAUCAAUCAAUCAAUUAGCGGUAGGACGGCCCCAUAGCAACACAAACAGUCCACACAAAGGGCGCCAUUUUUCCAUUGAACGCCUACAAUGUGUGCAAUGAUGUACACAAUAAAUGCUAGACGCUUUCACUAGCGCUAACCCGGGGGUUUCAACUAGAAAAGAACGAAGUAAUACUUCAGUAGUCACUGCGUCUCUCUGUAUGGGGUUAAUUUAGUGCAAAAUUUGACCCAGAACUAAAGGGACGAAAAUGUCGAACGAAAAUGAGCCAGACGAGCAAACGGAAGAGGCAGAAAUGGAGUUUGUAACGGACGAGAAUGCCAACAAGACACCGGCGGGAAGUCGGGCCCCGAGCCGGGCCAAGAGCCGUGGAAGUAUCGGUGAUGAACGCAAGACAAUAACGAGGAAGGGUGGUCGCUCGACAGCUCGGCCAGAGAGCAGACUGUCUGGAGUGGAUGAUAACGAAUCCCCAGUUGAUGAAAUGGCCCAAUCAGAGACAACGUACAGUGAGAGCAGUGGUUUUGAUACGGACCUCGAGGUGGAAGAAACCAUUUUGGCACUGAGACGAAAUGUUCGGGAAGCGUAUGACGCAUCCGGUAAAUCAACGUACAAAGAAGCGUGUCGGCUGAACGGUGUGAUUCCUGUAUCCUACUUCCUAAGACACAUAGCUGAUUCUGAGUUGACGAUGAAGCAUCAUGGUCUCGGACCUGCUGGAGCCAAGGCUAUCGCUAUAUCCCUGGUGACUAACACGACAAUCUGUAAGCUGAACCUGAGUGAUAAUUGGCUGGAUGCUGUAGGAGGAGUUGCCAUUGCUGAUAUGCUCAAAGAAAACUGCUACAUUACUGAUCUGGACCUUUCUGAGAAUAAAUUGGGUAACACCGGUGCCAAAGCUCUGAGUGAAAUGCUUCUACAGAACAGCACAUUAACACAUCUCACAUUAAAAGGAAACAGUUUUGAAGACAAGAGUGCAGAAUAUUUUGCUGAGGUUCUUUUGAACAACAGCAAAGUUGAGUACUUAAAUCUGAGCCACAAUGAAUUCAGUGAGGCUGCCGGUCUGCUGCUUGGCCCAGCAAUCUCAGAAAAUAUCAGCAUCCGACAUAUCGACCUGAGCUGGAAUCACGUCAGAAGGAAAGGAGCAUUAGCUCUGGCUAGAGGCAUCAUGAACAAUAUCGGUCUGAAGAUCAUGAACCUCUCCUGGAAUGGCUUUGGCAAUGAAGGAGCUCAGGCAUUAGGUGAAGCACUCAAGAUGAAUAGUUCCUUGGAAGAACUGGACAUCACGAAUAACAGAAUGUCUGGUGAAGGAGCAGUUUUCCUGGGGAAAGGUUUGAGCAAUAAUGAGACGCUCAAGAUUCUGAGAAUCGGGAAGAACCCCAUGCAAACUGCAGGAGCAUUCGCCAUCUUAAAAGCCAUCAAAGAUAACACUAACACUAUCAUGGAUGAACUGGAUUUUUCAGGGAUCCAAGUCAACAAAGAAUUUGAAGAUCUUUACAAUCAGUUAAAGGAAACACGGCCAAGCAUCAAGGUCCAUCACGGCGGCAUGAAGGAGACCGUCAAACCCAAACAGAAGCUCAACCCGAUGCUCAAACUCCAACGCUACAUCCAGAAGAACAACUUACGCUUGGUGGAUUUCUUCAACAAGUUUGAUAAAGAUGGAAGUAUGAGUGUGACAUAUGACGAGUUUGAAGAAGGACUCAUAGAGAGUGGUAUAGACCUUUCCAAAGAAGAGAUAGCGUUUAUGAUUGCUGAAUUGGACAAAGAUGGCGACGGUGAAAUCAACUACAGCUAUAUGGUGUUAGGCCUCAGCACCAGGUGACCCCGCCCCCUUCCAUUGCUUUGCCCCUCCCACUCAUGACCCUUAACCUUUGACACAGUCAGUGAGCUGUUAUUUGGCACCGUGGAAGGACAAGAGAAAGGAAAACAACUUGAAGAGGCAAUCAAAGAAUUCAAAGAAGCCGUGGAUAGCUCUCUCUCAAAUUAUUAAUAACAUCAACGCUUCUGUAGUGCCACCACAAAAUGUCCACGUCAAAAUGACCUUUCAAAAUCAAAGGCAUGGUUGAAUACAUCUCAUAAACCCUGCCGCAAACCCUGCACGAUCCAAGAAUCUCCUAGCACUCAUAACAGUCCCAAAUGUAUCCCACCAAAUUUGCCCGUUUAUUGGACAGGGUUGGUUUUCAAACCAUCAUACCAUGUGAAAACUUGGACCUUUUAUUAGUUUUAAGCCAUUUUGAGAAUGGCCAUCUGAAUUUGAUGCCAUUUCAUUCAGAUAUGUUUAAAAUCCUAAUUUCUUUGUUUAUUAUCAACGUUUGUGCUGCGAACCAAAAAGUGCUUUAGAAGACGGAAUCCCAGAAAAAAUGCUUCCAGCUCACAAAUCUUGGGCUCAUUUCACAUUUUGUAAAAUUCUCUGUGGACAUUUUGUUUUGGAGGUAAAACUAUUUGCUUGUUUCCUUCUUCCUUGUAGUCUUUACAUUUUGCAUAAAUUUUGUUUUGCACUGCUCUGAAAUGCCCUAGAUUUUGCAUUUUUUUAAAUAACAGAAAGGCAAAUGAAAAGGUUUGUUCAUUUCACUAUAAAAAUGUAUAGGCGUCCCAAAGAUUUUCUGACAACUUUUGAUGUUGCUUUGUUGUGUGUGAAAGGUAAUUUUGCCAUUAAAAAUGCAGAAACAAAAUCUUUUAAACUUGAUUGAAUAAUUGGCAGGGAAUGCGUUUGUGCAACAAAAAAAAUCAAAAUAUUUUUACCUUAAAACACUUACUAAUGUAAUGUUCAUGAAAACAAAUGCAAACAAAAAUGUGACACAAUACAUUUUUCAAACUUAGUCAAUUCACAAAACCAAAAUAACUGCAAAUAGCUUUUUACUUUUCUACAUUUGAUACAUCUUAGUGUUCAAGAGGGAUCGAAAUAAGCCAGUUAGCCAUUCUGUGUGUGUGUGCAUGUGUAUUUUAUUUGUAUAUAAAAUCUUACCAUAGUUUAUGUAAAUAAGAGCUGCAGAGAUCAAAUAAAAAAAAGACACAGUAAAA